rnacentral:ribozyme from 1 species
GUUAAUACUGCUUAACUAUUGAUUUAAAGCUUCUCUAACAACAUCAAAGGCUCGUCAUAUCAUACUCCUACUUAAUAUGUCCACGGCGUGCAGAACGCUUAAAUGUCUUUCAGCAAUAACUGAGCUUGAGUUUACGGGGAAACAAAAAGACCUUCGGGGAAUAUGGCUAAUUUCAGAGAA